UACGUAGGGGGCGAGCGUUGUCCGGAUUUAUUGGGCGUAAAGAGCGUGUAGGCGGCUUGGUAGGUCUGCUGUGAAAACUCGAGGCUUAACCUCGAGCUGUCGGCGGAAACCAUCUGGCUAGAGUCCGGAAGAGGAGAAUGGAAUUCCCGGUGUAGCGGUGAAAUGCGCAGAUAUCGGGAAGAACACCCGUGGCGAAGGCGGUUCUCUGGGACGGUACUGACGCUGAGACGCGAAAGCGUGGGGAGCGAACAGG
rnacentral:rRNA from 1 species